AAUAGAUGACACCGUUGAUUUUUUCUCACAUGUUUGAUCAUUCGUCUUAUUCAAAAAAUUUAUGUAAUUAUAAUUUAUUUUGUUAUGAGUUCUUUUAUCACUUAUAGUACUUUAAGUUUGAUUUAUAUCUUACAUAUUUGAAAAAAAAUUUGAAUAAAACGAAUGGUUAAACAUGUGAGAAAAAAUAAAUGGCGUUAUCUAUU
rnacentral:pre_miRNA from 1 species